rnacentral:rRNA from 1 species
UACGGGGGGGGCAAGCGUUGUUCGGAAUUACUGGGCGUAAAGCGCGUGUAGGCGGCCCUGCAAGUCGGGUGUGAAAUCCCACGGCUCAACCGUGGAAGUGCAUUCGAAACUGCAGGGCUAGAGUCCUGGAGAGGAAGGUGGAAUGCUUGGUGUAGAGGUGAAAUUCGUAGAUAUCAAGCGGAACACCGGUGGCGAAGGCGGCCUUCUGGACAGUGACUGACGCUGAGACGCGAAAGCGUGGGGAGCAAACAGG